rnacentral:rRNA from 1 species
GAUGAACGCUGGCGGCGUGCCUAAUACAUGUAAGUCGAGCGAACGGACGAGAAUCUUGCUUCUCUUAUGUUAGCGGCGGACGGGGUAGUAACACGUGAUUAACCUACCUAUAAGACUGUGGUAACUUCUGGAAACCGGAGCUAAUACCGGUUAAUCAUUUUAACCGCAUGGUUCAAAAGUGAAACACGGUCUUGCUUUUACUUAUUAGUGACUCCUCGCUGCAUUAGCUAGUUGGUAAGGUAACGGCUUACCAAGGCAACGAUGCAUAGCCGACCUGAGAGGGUGAGCGGCCACACUGGAAAUGAGACACGAUCCAGACUCCUACGGGAGGCAGCAGUAGGGCAUCUUGCGCAAUGGGCGAACGCCUGACGGAGCAACGCCGCGUGAGUGCUGAAGGUCUUCGGAUCGUAAAACUCUGUUAUUAGGGAAGAACAUAUGUGUAAGUAACUGUGCACAUCUUGACGGUACCUAAUCAGAAAGCCACGGCUAACUACGUG